rnacentral:rRNA from 1 species
UUUUUUAAGAGUUUGAUCCUGGCUCAGGAUGAACGCUAGCGGUGUGCCUGAGAUAUGCAAGUCGAGCGUCCCCGCCGCAAGGCGGGGUAGUGGCGGACGGCUGAGUAAUAUAUAGGAACCUGCCUUUUUCUGGAGGAUAGCCCCGCGAAAGCGGGGGUAAUACUUCAUGGUCCAGAUACCAUCUGGUACCUGGUAAAGGACGUAACUGUCCGGAAAAAGAUGGGCCUAUAUUCUAUCAGGUAGUUGGUAGGGUAAUGGCCUACCAAGCCUAUGACGGAUAGCUGGUUUGAGAGGACGACCAGCCAGAGGGGGACUGAGACACGGCCCCCACUCCUACGGGAGGCAGCAAUCAGGAAUAGUCGGCAAUGGGCGAAAGCCUGACCGCGCGACACCGCGUGCGGGAUGAAGGUCUAAACGAUCGUAAACCGCUGUGGUAGGGGAAGAAGUAGGCCAUUGGCCUAUUGACGGUACCCUACUAGAAAGGAGCCGCUAACUGCGUGCCAGAAGCGUCGGUAAUACGUGGGCUUCAAGCGUUAUCCGGUUUUACUGGGCGUAAAAGGUCGUGUAGGCGGUUUGAUAAGUUAUCUCUUAAAUUUUCUCGCUCAACGAGAAGCUUGGAGAUAAUACUAUCAAACUUGAGUUUUCUUAAGGGAGACUGGAACUGAGGGAGGAGUAGUGAAAUGCGUUGAUACCCUCGGGAACACCAGUGGCGAAGGCGAGUCUCUGGAAGGAAACUGACGCUGAGACACGAAAGCUAGGGGAGCGAAGCAGAUUAGAGACCUGCGUAGUCCUAGCCCUAAACGAAUGCCUGCUGGCUGCAUGGUUUCCCGACUUUGUCGAGGAUUUCGUGUGGCGAAGGUAACCCGUUAAGCAGGCCGCCUGGGGAGUACGACCGCAAGGUUAAAACUCAAAGGAAUUGGCGGGGAGGCACACAACCAGUGGAACAUGUGGUUCAAUUCGAUACGAACCGAAGAACCUCACCAGGGCUUGAAAUCCAAGCGUCCUAUCCCGAGGAAACUCGGGAAAUUCGCAAGAAGGUUUGGACAGGUACUGCAUGGCUGUCGUCAGUUCGUUCCGUGAGGAGUGCCCUUAAGUGGGACAACGAACGCAACCCCUAUCUUGUGUUAAAUUUGUCACAAGAGACUGCCCCGCCUAUGGCGGGGAGGAAGGAGGGGCAGACGUCAAGUCAGCAUGGUCCUUAUGCCCUGGGCUACACACAUGUUACAAUGAAUAAAACAACGGGCUUUGCAAACGCGCAAGUGUAAGCAAAUCCCUUAAAUUUAUUCUCAGUGGGGAUUGAGGUCUGCAACUCGACCUCAUGAACGCGGAAUUGGUAGUAAUCGCGGAUCAGCUAUGCCGCGGUGAAUACGUUCUUGCCUCUUGCACACACCGCCCGUCAAGCCAACAAAGUCGGUGGCAUUUGAACCCCGCUCAGCGGGGGAGAAUUUCAUCGGCGAUGAGGGUUAAGUCGUAACAAGGUAUCCGUUCUGGAAGGAGCGGAUGGAUCACCUCCUUU